rnacentral:rRNA from 1 species
GAUGAACGCUGGCGGCGUGCCUAAUACAUGCAAGUCGAGCGAACAGACGAGGAGCUUGCUCCUCUGACGUUAGCGGCGGACGGGUGAGUAACACGUGGAUAACCUACCUAUAAGACUGGGAUAACUUCGGGAAACCGGAGCUAAUACCGGAUAACAUGUUGAACCGCAUGGUUCAACAGUGAAAGACGGUCUUGCUGUCACUUAUAGAUGGAUCCGCGCCGCAUUAGCUAGUUGGUAAGGUAACGGCUUACCAAGGCAACGAUGCGUAGCCGACCUGAGAGGGGGGGGGGCCACACUGGAACUGACACCCGAUCCAGACCCAAGCGGGAGGGAGCAGGAGGGAAUUUUCCGAAAUGGGCGAAGGCCUGACGGACCAACGCCGGGGGAGUGAAAAAGUGUUUGGGAACGUAAAACCGUGUUAUUGGGAAAAAAAAAAUGUGUAAGUAACUACGCACGGCUAGCCGGUACCUAACCAGAAGGCCACGGCAACCUAGGUC